rnacentral:rRNA from 1 species
UGAGGAAUUUUGCGCAAUGGGGGAAACCCUGACGCAGCAACGCCGCGUGGGCGAUGAAGGCCUUCGGGUCGUAAAGCCCUGUCGGGCGGGAAGAACGCACUUGGUCGAAGGACUGGGGGGUGACGGUACCGCCAGAGGACGCACCGGCUAACUCCGUGCCAGCAGCCGCGGUAAUACGGAGGGUGCAGGCGUUAGUCGGAAUUACUGGGCGUAAAGGGCGUGCAGGCGGUAGUGGAAGUCUGAUGUGAAAGCCCGGGGCUCAACCCCGGAAGGGCGGUGGAAACUGC